UACAGGGGGGGCAAGCGUUGUUCGGAAUUACUGGGCGUAAAGGGUUCGUAGGCGGCCACUUAAGUCAGACGUGAAAUCCCUCAGCUUAACUGGGGAACUGCGUCUGAUACUGAGUGGCUUGAGUGCAGGAGAGGAAUGCGGAAUUCCAGGUGUAGCGGUGAAAUGCGUAGAUAUCUGGAGGAACACCGGUGGCGAAGGCGGCAUUCUGGACUGUAACUGACACUGAGGAACGAAAGCCAGGGGAGCAAACGGG
rnacentral:rRNA from 1 species